rnacentral:misc_RNA from 1 species
UCCGGUUUGGCACCGGCAGUCUCCGAUGAGUCCCCGACAUUACUCGCUGGCAACAUCGGACAGGGGUUGCGCUCGUUGCGCCACUUAAGGCAACACCUCACGGCACGAGCUGACGACAGCCAUGCAGCACCUGUGCGGGCUCCCGAAGGAGGACCGUGUUUCCACGGCUUCACCCCGCAUGUCAAGCCCUGGUAAGGUUCUUCGCGUUGCGUCGAAUUAAGCCACAUGCUCCGCCGCUUGUGCGGGCCCCCGUCAAUUCCUUUGAGUUUCAACCUUGCGGUCGUACUCCCCAGGCGGGGUACUUCCUGCGUUAGCGCCGGCACUCGGGGGGUCGCUCCCCCAAGCACCCAUCGUUUACGGCGUGGAUUAC